ensembl:processed_transcript A430093F15Rik RIKEN cDNA A430093F15 gene
GGCCCAUCCAUCUUGGGAGAUGUUGUCUAAACACGCAGCAAGGAUGGUCAGAAAUGUAUCGCAUGAGGCUGGACUACAACUCAGCGACAGAAUGUCAGCCAGCAAGUUCAAGGCUGUAGGCUCGUUCUGUUCCACUGUACUAGGGGUGAGGUAAGGGCUGGGAGGAGUGGAGGUGUUAUAUUGUAUCAUUGAGUUCCUUAUAAAUGGUGUGAUUUUUUUUCUUCUUCUGGAGUAUUUCUUCUACUAAUUAAUCUGUUCCUAAAAUGGUGACUACAGUGUAAGCUUCUGAAAACUUUAAAUUUAACUAGAUUCUUGAUAAUGUAGAGAGACAUUAUUCUUUCUUAGUAUCAUCCAUUUUAACAGAAAGUUGUCAUCUCUUCUGACUAUGCAAUAUUCUCCCUGGAUUUAUUUUCAUUUAUAAUCAGUCUGUAUCUUUGAGUUUAAAUUAUAUUUCAUGUGUGUGUGUGUUUGCUGUUAUGUCAAAUGGAGAACAGAGACCAGCCUGAGGAAUUGGUUCUCAAACAAACAAAUAAAACAAACAACAACAACAACAACAAAACCCAGUUCUUCUGUCUACCAUGUGGUUGCUGGGGGUGGCACUUAGGUUGUCAGGCUUGGUGGCAGACUCUUUUACCCUCUGAGCCAUCUCUCUAGCACCAAGUAUAUUUUAUUGUGACUAUCUAAGGUCUACAACAUGAGGUUAUGAGUCACAUACACAUAGUAAAAUAAAUGGCCACAAACAACUUAGCAGAUCCAUCACUUUACAGGUGCCCAGUGUGUGUGUGUGUGUGUGCGCGCGUGUGUGUGUGUGUGUGUGCUCACAUUGGUCAGGGGGAAGUUGUUUCACAAUGUUGCCUCGGUUAAUCUUGAACUUACUAUUCUCCUGCCUCAACCUAAGCAUUGGUAUUAUAGUCAUAGGCCAUCUGGCUGUUUAUUAUUCUUAGUG